rnacentral:rRNA from 1 species
AACGUAGGACACGAGCGUUAUCCGGAGUUACUGGGCGUAAAGGGCAGGUAGGCGGACAGGCAAGUUGGGUGUGAAAUCUCCCUGGCUUAACCGGGAGGGUGCACUCGAAACUGUCUGACUGGAGGGCGGCAGAGGAGCGUGGAAUUCCGGGUGGAGUGGUGAAAUGCGUAGAGAUCCGGAGGAACACCAGAGGCGAAGGCGGCGCUCUGGGCCGCACCUGACGCUGAACUGCGAAAGCCAGGGUAGCGAACGGG